rnacentral:rRNA from 1 species
UAGUGAUUAGAAAAGCAAAUGUAGGUAUAAGUAACGAUAAGGCCGGCGAGAAACCGGCCCGCCGAUGGACUAAGGUUUCCUGAACAACGCUAAUCGGUUCAGGGUCAGUCGGGACCUAAGGCGAAGCCGAACGGCGUAGUCGAUGGACAACUGGUUAAUAUUCCGGUACUUGCUCUACCGUGAUGAGGAGACGGAGAAAUGAAAGUGCUGCGUACUGACGGAAUAGUACGUUGAAGGGUGUAGGUAUAUUUUUGGUAGGAAAAUCCGCCAGAGAUGCUGAAGCCUGAUAGUACCUUGAGUCGUAAGACAAGAGGAUAUGCACCUAAGUCAGCUUCCAAGAAAAUCCUCUAAACUUCAGGUAGAAGCAACCCGUACCGCAAACCGACACAGGUAGUCAAGGAGAGAAUCCUGAGGCGCUCGAGUGAACCGUGGUUAAGGAACUAGGCAAAUUGACCCUGUAACUUCGGGAUAAAGGGUGCCCACAGUAAUGUGGGCCGCAGUGAAAUGGCGAUGGCGACUGUUUAACAAAAACACAUGGCUUUGCGAAAUCGAAAGAUGAAGUAUAAGGCCUGACACCUGCCCGGUGCCGGAAGGUUAAGAGGAGAUGUUAGAAGCAAUUCGAAGCAUUGAAUUGAAGCCCCGGUAAACGGCGGCCGUAACAAUAACGGUCCUAAGGUAGCGAAAUUCCUUGUCGGGUAAGUUCCGACCUGCACGAAUGGUGUAACGAUCUUCGCACUGUCUCAACCACGAGCUCGGUGAAAUUGUGGUAUCAGUGAAGACGCUGAUUACCCGUCACGGGACGGAAAGACCCCAUGCACCUUCACUAUAGUUUAACAUUGACGCUGGAUAAUUGAUGUGUAGAAUAGGUGGGAGGCUUUGAAGCAGCGGCGCUAGCCGUUGUGGAGCCACCGUUGAAAUACCACCCUUUAAUUAUUUGGCGUCUAACUCCGCAGGGAGGACAUUGUUUGAUGGGUAGUUUGACUGGGGUGGUCGCCUCCGAAAGAGUAUCGGAGGCUUUCAAAGAUUCGCUCAGUACGCUUGGUAACUGUACGUAGAGUGCAAUAGCAUAAGCGAGUUUGACUGUGAGGCCGACAAGCCAAGCAGGGUCGAAAGACGGAUAUAGUGAUCCGGCGGUUCUGCAUGGAAGGGCCGUCGCUCAUAGGAUAAAAGGUACGCUGGGAUAACAGGCUGAUCCCUCCCAAGAGCUCACAUCGACGGGGGGGUUUGGCACCUCGAUGUCGGCUCGUCACAUCCUGGGGCUGGAGAAGGUCCCAAGGGUUCGGCUGUUCGCCGAUUAAAGUGGCACGCGAGCUGGGUUCAGAACGUCGUGAGACAGUUCGGUCCCUAUCUGUGAUGGGCGUUAGAAAAUUGAGAGGAGCUGACUCUAGUACGAGAGGACCGAGUCGGACAAACCGCUAGUGUACCAGUUGUGGCGCCAGCUGCAUCGCUGGGUAGCUAUGUUUGGAUGAGAUAAGCGAAAAGCAUCUAAGUGCGAAGCUCGCCUCAAGAUAAGUUUUCUUUAUAAGGAUCGUGGAAGACUACCACGUUGAUAGGCUACAGGUGUAAAGGCAGCAAUGUCAAAGCCGAGUAGUACUAAUUGUCU